GUAACACCAAAGGCCUAAAAACACAAAGAAUUAAAGAAUAGUCGUUGGAAUUAUCAUUAUUAAGUAUGUGUUACAAAGUGGAUUGCAAGCAAUGUGGCAAGACCACCUGGGGUGGAUGCGGCAAGCACCUCAAAACUCUGUACCCGACCAUUGCUCAAGGCAAGCAUUGCACCUGCCGCUCUUGGCCCGGAGUCGAUACGGCCUCCUCCGCGGCGUCUUCCACCACCACUACCACGACUACUACUGGUAGCGAGGUCAAGUGAAACUUUGGAUGCUGCUUCGCAGAGAUGCCUUUUUACAUAUAAAUUAAAAAAAUAAAUGAAUAAUGUAAAUUCAAAAGUUCAAUAUUGUGCAUUAGUUUGCACUUUGUACUACUUGCUUUUGGAAUUAAACGCUAGGCUGCUACAUCUUUUUGUGCUA